rnacentral:rRNA from 1 species
UACGAAGGGGGCUAGCGUUGCUCGGAAUCACUGGGCGUAAAGCGCACGUAGGCGGACUCUUAAGUCGGUGGUGAAAUCCUGGAGCUCAACCCUGGAACUGCAUUGGAUACUUCCUUGCUAGAGUACUGGAGAGGAAACUGGAAUUUACGGUGUAGCAGUGAAAUGCGUAGAGAUCGUAAGGAAGACCAGUGGCGAAGGCGAGUUUCUGGACAGUUACUGACGCUGAGGCACGAAGGCCAGGGGAGCAAACGGG